rnacentral:rRNA from 1 species
GACGAACCGUGCGAACGUUAUUCGGAAUCACUGGGCUUAAAGCGCGUGUAGGCGGGCCGGCACGUCCGAGGCUGAAAUCCCCCGGCUCAACCGGGGAACGGGCCCGGAUACGACCGGCCUGGAGGGGGGUAGGGGGCGCCGGAACUCACGGUGGAGCGGUGAAAUGCGUUGAGAUCGUGAGGAACGCCCGUGGCGAAAGCGGGCGCCUGGACCCCGCCUGACGCUGAGACGCGAAAGCCAGGGGAGCAAACGGG